rnacentral:rRNA from 1 species
AUGUUCAAAUAUUUAUAGGAUCAAGAUGGGCAUGCGUGUCAUUAGCUAGUUGGCGGGGUAACGGCCCACCAAGGCGACGAUGACUAGGGGAUCUGAGAGGAUGGCCCCCCACACUGGUACUGAGACACGGACCAGACUCCUACGGGAGGCAGCAGUAAGGAAUAUUGGUCAAUGGAGGGAACUCUGAACCAGCCAUGCCGCGUGCAGGACGACGGCCCUCUGGGUUGUAAACUGCUUUUAUUCGGGAAUAAACCUACUUACGUGUAAGUAGCUGAAUGUACCGAAGGAAUAAGGAUCGGCUAACUCCGUGCCAGCAGCCGCGGUAAUACGGAGGAUCCAAGCGUUAUCCGGAUUUAUUGGGUUUAAAGGGUGCGUAGGCGGCUUAUUAAGUCAGGGGUGAAAGACGGUGGCUCAACCAUCGCAGUGCCUUUGAUACUGAUGAGCUUGAAUGGACUAGAGGUAGGCGGAAUGUGACAAGUAGCGGUGAAAUGCAUAGAUAUGUCACAGAACACCGAUUGCGAAGGCAGCUUACUAUGGUUUAAUUGACGCUGAGGCACGAAAGCGUGGGGAUCAAACAGGAUUAGAUACCCUGGUAGUCCACGCCCUAAACGAUGAAUACUCGCUGUUAGCGAUAUACAGUUAGCGGCUAAG